UCGGACGCGGUGCGUGGUGCACACCCGCCCUCGAUCAACAUUUGGCAAGCAAGCGGGAAGUCUGGGUUCGAUUCCCAGCGUCCGGG